GAGAGUGUAGCUCAACUGGUAGAGCACAUGGUUACCAUGCACAAGGUCCUGGGUUUAAUCCCCAGUACUUCCU
rnacentral:tRNA from 1 species